rnacentral:snRNA from 1 species
AUUAAAGAGCAGAAGCAUGUAUACUGAAAUUGGAAUGAUACAGAGAAGAUUGGCAUGGCCCCUGUGCAAGGACGACACACAUUAAGUCAAGCGGUAGUGGCACAUGCAUUU